AUUCCCUCUGUCUGGGAAGUAGCUUGGAAGAAGACUGAGGAGCAGAACGAAGUAGCUUCUUCUGGGUGAGCUAGAAGCCUGACUGAGUAAGAGUAAAACUUGUUCAUGCCAGAGACACAACCUUCUCCAGGGGCUGUCCCAGACUGUGGAAUGAACUCCCCAAGGAAUUAAGGACUAUCUUAAACCACACCACUUUCUACUCCAAGUGCAAGGCAUAUGUCUUUGACCUUGCCUUCUGUAGUAGAAACACAUAACCACAGAUAUAUUUAUUUAAUGAUAAAAAUCCCUACCAACACAAGACACUCCACUGCAUAUGCUUCUUUCUGGGGAGAGAACUUGCAACAUGUGACAGAUGUGUAGUCACCUGGCUUAUCAGAAAGCAGUCAGAUAUUACAGUGCUGAUCAUGGUAUAAAAACCUACAUAGUAGAGAAUAGAUAUGCUUGCAUGGAUAUCUGCUUUAAGGCAGACUGUUUUACUGUCUGCUGCAGCCCCCUCUGAAAUCAGUGGGAGUUUUACCACAGAUUUCAGUGAACCACAUUAUGAAACCUUUACUCACUUCUAAUCACCAAUGCAAAUAGCCAUACGGAAGUCACUGUGACUGUGCAUGAAUAAUUGCACUAAUGUGAAUAAAGACUUCACAGUGUGGCCAAAUGAGAGCUGGAAUAUGUA